AGAGUUUGAUCCUGGCUCAGCACGAACGCUGGCGGCGUGCCUAACACAUGCAAGUCGAACGGAAUUAAGGGGCUUGCUCCUUAAUUUAGUGGCGCACGGGUGAGUAACGCGUGGAUAAUCUGCCUGACGAUCUGGGAUAACAUCUCGAAAGGGGUGCUAAUACCGGAUAAGCCCACGGGGACUUCGGUUCUUGCGGGAAAAGGGGGGGACCUUCGGGCCUUCUGUCGUCAGAUGAGUCCGCGUACCAUUAGCUAGUUGGUAGGGUAAAGGCCUACCAAGGCUACGAUGGUUAGCUGGUUUGAGAGAAUGAUCAGCCACACUGGAACUGAGACACGGUCCAGACUCCUACGGGAGGCAGCAGUGGGGAAUUUUGCGCAAUGGGCGAAAGCCUGACGCAGCAACGCCGCGUGAGUGAUGAAGGCUUUCGGGUCGUAAAGCUCUGUCGAGGGGAAAGAAGUGUAUUGUGGCUAAUAUCCACGAUACUUGACGGUACCCCUAAAGGAAGCACCGGCUAACUCCGUGCCAGCAGCCGCGGUAAUACGGGGGGUGCAAGCGUUGUUCGGAAUUAUUGGGCGUAAAGCGCGUGUAGGCGGUUUGAUAAGUCAGAUGUGAAAGCCCACGGCUUAACCGUGGAAGUGCAUUUGGUACUGUCAGACUUGAGUACCAGAGGGGAAAGUGGAAUUCCCGGUGUAGAGGUGAAAUUCGUAGAUAUCGGGAGGAAUACCGGUGGCGAAGGCGACUUUCUGGCUGGAUACUGACGCUGAGGCGCGAAAGCGUGGGGAGCAAACAGGAUUAGAUCCCCUGGUAGUCC
rnacentral:rRNA from 1 species